rnacentral:tRNA from 1 species
GCCGACGUGGCCCAACUGGCAAGAGGCGCUCGUCUUAGAAACGAGAGGUUGAGAGUUCAAAUCUCUCCGUCGGCA